GACCGCGUAGCUCAGUUGGUGGAAGAGCAUUGGGCUAGUAUUCCAAAGGUCGUAGGUUCGAAUCCCACCGUGGCCA